rnacentral:rRNA from 1 species
AACGUAGGAGACAAACGUUAUCCGGAGUUACUGGGCGUAAAGGGCGUGUAGGUGGUUUUGUAAGUCUGGCGUGAAAUUUCUCGGCUUAACCGAGGCAGGUCGUCGGAUACUAUAAGACUAGAGGACGGUAGAGGCGUGUGGAAUUCCGGGUGUAGUGGUGAAAUGCGUAGAGAUCCGGAGGAACACCAGUGGCGAAGGCGGCACGCUGGGCCGUACCUGACACUGAUGCGCGACAGCAUGGGGAGCAAACAGG